CCUACGGGUGGCAGCAGUGAGGAAUAUUGGUCAAUGGGCGUAAGCCUGAACCAGCCAAGUCGCGUGAGGGAUGAAGGUUCUAUGGAUCGUAAACUUCUUUUAUAAGGGAAUAAAGUGUGGGACGUGUCCUAUUUUGUAUGUACCUUAUGAAUAAGGAUCGGCUAACUCCGUGCCAGCAGCGGCGGUAAUACGGAGGAUCCGAGCGUUAGCCGGAUUUAUUGGGUUUAAAGGGUGCGUAGGCGGCCUUUUAAGUCAGCGGUGAAAGUCUGUGGCGCAACCAUAGAAUUGCCGUUGAAACUGGGGGGCUUGAGUGUGUAUGAGGCAGGAGGAAUGCGUGGUGUAGCGGUGAAAUGCUUAGAUAUCACGCAGAACCCCGAUUGCGAAGGCAGCCUGCCAAGCCAUGACUGACGCUGAUGCACGAAAGCGUGGGGAUCAAACAGGAUUAGAUACCCUAGUAGUC
rnacentral:rRNA from 1 species